UAAGACUUACGGGAAAGCAAAGGAAAAAAAUCACUAAACUACACCAAAUGAAUUAGAGUAGUUGUGGGACAAAAUUGAUUUUGGUGAAGCAAUCCAAUACACGAAUCCAACAAAUUUGAGUUCGAUAACCCAAUCCACAAGUCGAACAAAUCUGAAAUUGGUGAAGCAAAAUCAGUUUUGGCGGGACAAAGAGGCGGGAGCGAAAUAAUGAAGCAAAGGUUUUUCAUUAUGCAUCUUUCACGCCACUCUUAUCUAACAUCUACGUCACAAAUUUGUAGUUUUUUCAUCUUCUACAAUCUACUGAGUUUAUUAGGAUGAAAUGAAUGAGAGGACAACUUUAAAGACAAAUUUAUCAAAUGAGGGCCCAAAUGAUACAUUUGGACAAGGGAUGGGUAAAGAAAAACAUGUUCGCAUGUAUGGAUUAGGUGUCUCCGCGUCUAAAUUAUGGAAAGAUACAUCUGGUCAUAAAGCAAACCAAGACACAACAAUGGAUGCUAUGGAAGCUGAAAAUUCGGAGCUAAGGUCCAAAGUUUCCUAUGUUCAGCAUGCUCCGAAUAACUUGACAAACACAUCUAACCAGGUCACAACAACAUCUAGUCCUCUUGACAUGGCAGCUCAACAUCAAGCAUGAUCCUUGUCAUCGAUACAAGAUACCUCUCUUACUCAGUUGCGGAGUUGAACACUAAGCAACCGGCGGUCACAAUUGACCCAACACCACCAUGGAAGCCCCAACUGAAGCACCGGGGAAAAGAGAUCCAGGCCAGUGCAUCGGUCGAAGGAGACAAGGAGCAUCUACUCGCCUUUGACCUAACCAAAGCCUUGCUUUUGUCGAGCGAUGUGGUCGGCAGCGACCACGUGCCUGACACCCGGCUGGUGAAGUCCUCGGUCAAGAAUCUCGAACUCUUUAUUUAAAUUUUUCUAAGUGUUUGCUCGGUUUCCUUUCUUUAAUCAAAACUCUUCUUUGCAGGCCAUCCAGAAACAAUAUCUAGUCAUGGAGCGGAUUCAUAGACUCUGGCAGAAGGCAACCGACGCUGCCAGCCAGGUUGAGCACCUUCAAACCGAGCUGGGGCGAUCAAAAGCUUCUUUGGAGAUCGCGAACUCUGACAACUCCAGAUUGCUCGGCCAGCUUGGAGCCGUCGAGCAAGAGAGGGACGCUCUCCGAGCCGAGCUGGAGGCGUUGAAAUAAUCAAGGAAGGAUGAGCUGGAUGAGGCGAACAAUGAAGGUUUCAAGGAGGCCGAGGAAAACUACACGAAGCAAGUCUAUGCCACCCAAGACAUUUUCUUCAAGGCCGGCUGGAAGGCUACUUGCGAACAACUAGGCCAAGGAUCUGGAACUGAUGUGUUCGCCUCUCCCCCAGUUGCCUUUCUGCCGGCGUACAUGGUGCCUUAUGCUAAUGAUGUCUUCAAGGCGUUGCAGGCUGAGGCUGAGGAAGAAGCAGUGGACAACACCGAGGAAAAUGCUGAGGGAGAAAACCACCCGAAGCAGCUCGAGCAGGUGGAGACCGGCGUCCAAGACAAAACAACCACGGUCGAUCUGAAGGCAACCACAACCGGGGAUGACUUCGCCGACUUGUCCCCCUUAGUGUAGUUUUCUAUCUUUUCUUUUUUGUUUUUAAGAAUGUAACCGGGCUGCCAGCCCCUCCGUAUGUAAUUCUGUUUUACAUCAAUGAAAUGUUUUGAUUUCGUUAAGUGUUGUACUGUGUUUAAACUAAACAACUUCAGCCGGGGUAAAGCACCUUGGCUUGAGCUAAUUAUCUCGGUUGAAACCACUCAUCCGUGAGCAAAUUAUCAACUCAUACGGCAGAGAUAAACCAUCUUGCAAAAACCCCUGAGGAUAUCAUAAACUCGUCGAACCGGAGUAAAACAUCUCAGUUGAAAUCACAGAGUUGAGCAAAUCGUCAACUCAUUGAACUGAAGUAAAACAUCUCGAUUGGGAUCACAGAACUGAGCAAACCAUCAACUCGUUCAACCAGAAUAAAACAUCUCGGUUGAAAUCACAGAGUUGAGAAAAAUGCCAACUCAUUGAACCGGAGUAAAACAUCUCGGUUGAAAUCACAGAGUUGAGCAAAUCGUCAACUCAUUGAACCGGAGUAAAACAUCUCGGUUGAGAUCACAGAGUUAAGCAAACCAUCAACUCGUUCAACCAGAAUA